rnacentral:rRNA from 2 species
UAGUAACGGCGAGUGAAGCGGGAUGAGCUCAAGCUUAAAAUCUCUGUGCCAGUUUGGCAUGGCGAAUUGUAGUCUAUAGAGGCGUUGUCAGUGCGGCUGUGCGGGGUAAGUUCCUUGGAAGAGGACAGCAUCGAGGGUGAUACUCCCGUUUGUACCUGUGCGGCUUGCGCGUACGACACGUUUUCUUCGAGUCGCGUUGUUUGGGACUGCAGCGCAAAGUAGGUGGUAAAUUCCAUCUAAAGCUAAAUAUUGGUGCGAGACCGAUAGCGAACAAGUACCGUGAGGGAAAGAUGAAAAGAACUUUGAAAAGAGAGUUAAAGAGUACCUGAAACUGCUGAAAGGGAAGCGAAUCGUAUCCAGUGUCUAUAAUCUGCGACAUAUUUCAUUGGCGGCAGUGUGCGUGCUUUUGCGUCGGAAGCGGCUUUUGUUGCUCUGUGCUUUUGCUGUGCGCGCUGUUGCUGUUGCCCUGUGUUGCGGUGGGACGUCAGAGUCAGUUCGUAUGCUGCGGGAAAUGGCCGCCGAGGAGGUAGGUCAGGAUUUCGGUCUUGGCUGUUAUAUCUUGGUGGUUUGUUGUCGUGGUUGGGACUGAGGUGCCUACAAUGUGCUUUUGAGUGUGCCGGGUUCUCAUUUGGUGGACUGUUUGGAUAGCUUGCUAUGCUUGUGGUUUUUUCAUCGAGUGAUUGAGUCUGGUGGUAACUUAUUGCCGUUC